UACGUAGGGUGCGAGCGUUAAUCGGAAUUACUGGGCGUAAAGCGUGCGCAGGCGGUUUGCUAAGACAGGUGUGAAAUCCCCGGGCUUAACCUGGGAACUGCGCUUGUAACUGGCAAGCUAGAGUACGGUAGAGGGGGAUGGAAUUCCGCGUGUAGCAGUGAAAUGCGUAGAUAUGCGGAGGAACACCGAUGGCGAAGGCAAUCCCCUGGACCUGUACUGACGCUCAUGCACGAAAGCGUGGGGAGCAAACAGG
rnacentral:rRNA from 1 species